rnacentral:rRNA from 1 species
CGGAGGAUCCAAGCGUUAUCCGGAACCAUUGGGUUAAAGGGUCCGUAGGCGGUUUUGUAAGUCAGUGGUGAAAGCCCAUCGCUCAACGGUGGAACGGCCAUUGAUACUGCAAGACUUGAAUUAUUAGGAAGUAACUAGAAUAUGUAGUGUAGCGGUGAAAUGCUUAGAUAUUACAUGGAAUACCAAUUGCGAAGGCAGGUUACUACUAAUGGAUUGACGCUGAUGGACGAAAGCGUGGGGAGCGAACAGGAUUAGAUACCCUGGUAGUCCACGCCGUAAACGAUGGAUACUAGCUGUUCGGAGCAAUCUGAGUGGCUAAGCGAAAGUGAUAAGUAUCCCACCUGGGGAGUACGUUCGCAAGAAUG